UUCCUACGGGAGGCAGCAGUGGGGAAUCUUGCGCAAUGGGCGAAAGCCUGACGCAGCCAUGCCGCGUGAAUGAUGAAGGUCUUAGGAUUGUAAAAUUCUUUCACCGGGGACGAUAAUGACGGUACCCGGAGAAGAAGCCCCGGCUAACUUCGUGCCAGCAGCCGCGGUAAUACGAAGGGGGCUAGCGUUGCUCGGAAUUACUGGGCGUAAAGGGCGCGUAGGCGGAUCGUUAAGUCAGAGGUGAAAUCCCGGAGCUCAACUUCGGAAUUGCCUUUGAUACUGGCGAUCUUGAGUGUGAGAGAGGUAUGUGGAACUCCGAGUGUAGAGGUGAAAUUCGUAGAUAUUCGGAAGAACACCAGUGGCGAAGGCGACAUACUGGCUCAUUACUGACGCUGAGGCGCGAAAGCGUGGGGAGCAAACAGGAUUAGAUACCCUGGUAGUCCACGCCGUAAACGAUGAUUGCUAGUUGUCGGGCUGCAUGCAGUUCGGUGACGCAGCUAACGCAUUAAGCAAUCCGCCUGGGGAGUACGGUCGCAAGAUUAAAACUCAAAUGAAUUGACGGAA
rnacentral:rRNA from 1 species